rnacentral:rRNA from 1 species
GAUGAACGCUGGCGGCGUGCCUAAUACAUGCAAGUCGAGCGAACAGACGAGGAGCUUGCUCCUCUGACGUUAGCGGCGGACGGGUGAGUAACACGUGGAUAACCUACCUAUAAGACUGGGAUAACUUCGGGAAACCGGAGCUAAUACCGGAUAAUAUAUUGAACCGCAUGGUUCAAUAGUGAAAGACGGAUUUGCUGUCCCUUAUAGAUGGAUCCGCGCCGCAUUAGCUAGUUGGUAAGGUAACGGCUUACCAAGGCAACGAUGCGUAGCCGACCUGAGAGGGUGAUCGGCCACACUGGAACUGAGACACGGUCCAGACUCCUACGGGAGGCAGCAGUAGGGAAUCUUCCGCAAUGGGCGAAAGCCUGACGGAGCAACGCCGCGUGAGUGAUGAAGGUCUUCGGAUCGUAAAACUCUGUUAUUAGGGAAGAACAAAUGUGUAAGUAACUAUGCACGUCUUGACGGUACCUAAUCAGAAAGCCACGGCUAACUACGUG